UACGGAAGGGGCAAGCGUUGUUCGGAAUCAUUGGGCGUAAAGGGCGCGUAGGUGGUUCUGUAUGUCUACCGUGAAAGCGUACGGCUCAACCGUAUUUUGUCGGUGGAAACUGCAGGACUCGAGGCUGGGAGGGGCUGGUGGAAUUCCCUGUGUAGCGGUGAAAUGCGUAGAGAUGGGGGAGAACACUCGUGGCGAAGGCGGCCAGCUAGACCAGUUCUGACACUGAGGCGCGACAGCGUGGGGAGCAAACAGGAUUAGAUACCCC
rnacentral:rRNA from 1 species